GUUUUUGAAGUGUGUGUAGCUGUAAGGAACUAAAUAUAUAGGAAGCUGCUUUACUCACAAGCAUGAACAACACUUGACACAGGAAUCUCUUAGAGUAACAUGUACUUUUAUUCACAAGUUGUUUGUGUAUCUGUCUUUGGCUUCUUCCUGCAGAUAUCAGAGGUAGAGAGCAUGAGGACACUGAAAAAUGUAGCUGUAAAAAGAGGAGGAUCUGUCACUAUUCCAUGUAUUCAUGAAGAGAAGUACAAAGCAAACAAAAAAUUCUGGUGCAAAGGGAACUUUUGGUCUACCUGCAGUAUCGUAGCCUAUGCAAACUCAAGUGGAAAUCCAUCAGUCAUUGAUCAUGCAGAGUACAAUUUGUUGACGGUGGAACUGAACUCUGUCUCUGAGUCUGGAAGGCGUUGGUGUGCUGUAGAAAUUGGGGAUAGAUGGCAGCCGGAUGACCGUGAUUAUUUGUACCUGACGGUCAGUAAAGAUCCUGAUCUGUCAGUGAGGGAGAGCAGAGUGAGAGGUGAGGAAGGAGGCAGCGUCACAGUCCAGUGUCUCUACAGUGCUGCGUAUCAGAAUAAACAGAAGCAGUGGUGCAGAUUUAAAGAUGGACAAUGCAACAUAGUGAGGACUGAAACAUCCCAGAAUUCAGCAGUGUACAUCAGUGAUGAUGGGAGAAGAUCCUUCAGAGUGAAGAUGAGCAGACUGAAGAAGAGUGAUGCUGGAUGGUACUGGUGCAGUGCAGGAGAUCUGCAGGUUCCUGUUCACAUCAGUGUCGGUGUUGACGCUUCAGAUUUGAUUACGCCAGUUACUACAUGGUCCUGCAAUAAAGAAUCUAUAGAGCCAGAGAUGUUCUGUAUCGCAGACAACUGAAGGACAUGAUCUUGCUGACAUAGAGAACAUAAGAAGCUGGAAUGUUGGACAUAGUUUGUCUGAAAUAUUUUUAUACAAACAAGACAGUCAGUGAUCUGACUCAAAGCAAAAUUCAGUGUUUGUGACAUCAGUUCCCAGCAGUGAUGAAACCACUAGUUUGGUUUGGACCCUGAACCAUUGGUACCUGGUGGCCCUUCUUCUGCCACUGGUGAUACUGGUCAUCAUCAUCUGUAUGCUCAGAAAGAAAUGUGGUUUCUCCAAAUGAUGUCACCAAUGAGACCCUCUACAGCUAUGAGGUUUACCAGUAAGAGAGGAUGACUUACUGUUUGGCUGGAAGGAAACUGUGUGUGGAGCCUCAGGGAUCUCUAAUGGGCCCUAACAGAUAAAAUCCCAGUCAUGACAAGGACAACAUGCCCCACACUCACUGCACAGCCUUACAUCAUAGUCACAUGACCCUCAGUCAUUCAAAAAAAUAAGAAAGAAAUUUCCUCACUGUAGAUUUCACUUAUUCUCUUCUGUACUUUAUUUUUUUUGUCUUUUGCUUGAUCUGAAAUGUAUUUAAAGUGUUUAUAUUUCAUGUUUUUAUUUCAUUAUAUUUUAACUCAAAAUCCUUUUACAUUAUCAUUUCUGUUCACAUGGUCUACAGUCCUUAAAUACAACAUUAGUGUACAACAUAACACACUGCAGAACCCACAACGCUUAAUGAGUAAAAACCUGUAGGACAAAUAUCUUCUGAUUUUAAAUUAAAGCAUGCAACUAUUACACAUUGCUAUGCUACGCUAUUAUUAUAACCUCCUAGUGAAGCCAGUGUUAAUAUGAGUGAUGAUUAGGAAAACACUUCACAUGGUGAAAUUUUAACUAUACAUACAUAAACAUCUAAGAUGAAAUGCUUCUCUUUUAUAUAAUUAAGGAAAUAAUUCAAGAUAACGGAUCACAAGCAGCAUGGACGUUCUGAUAAACUGUGCUGGUAUCUGAUUACAAUCUGAAUGGAAGAGGCUCAUGACCCUGUAAUGAUGAACAGACCAUUCACUGUGGGAGAACAUCACACUUAGUCUGUAGUCUGACUGUAUUGUAGCACCGUUUAGAGGGGAAGAAAGUCACAUACACUGAAUGUGAACUCACCAGUUAUUACAGUCUGAGCCUUUACACUGUAUUUGUCUGUCAUGUCAUGAAUAACACUUGUCUUUUUCCUCUGGAGAUAAUGUUGAUUGCUGGUUACGAGCUUUCUGAACCAUGUAGUCCCGCGGUUCUUAUUGUCGCCAUCUAGUGGGAAAUAAAGCCAUGGCAGGGGCAGGCUAUUUAUUUAUUUAUUUAUUUAUUUAUUUAUUUAUGUAUUUAUUUAUUUAUUUAUUUAUUUAUUUGGUGUCUGUCUUCAUUGAUGCUUUUCUUUAUCGAUAAUAAAGUUAAUACACACAAAGCAAUCAUAAGCAAACAAAUAGGUCAUUGUUCCAUGUAAAGUAAAACAUCAUUUAGGGCACUGGAAGGAAAAAUAGUGAGAAAAUGACAGUUUAAUGUCAGGAAAAUAUUUACAACAGAACAAUCUUAAAAACCUUCACAUAGAGAGGCAGUAAUUGUGAUGAGCAGGAAGAGGAACUGCUUGAGUCGCUACAGACGCAGUACCAACUUCACAAUUGUCAUAAUUUCCGUUAGUUAAUUUGUCAUGCAGUCUUGCAUAUGCAAUGUAACUAAUUAAUACAACAAAACCCUAAAGUAUUGGAGUAUCGUAUCAACUGUCAGUAAUAUGUUGUAUUAUAAAGUAUGGAUAUUUUAUUGUCUCUGAGUAAUUGCAGUGUUUUUCUGUUCUGUAUGCAGUUGAUGCCGUUCAGUCACAGAGGUACUUUAGUCUUAAACCUGGAUCAUCUGUCACCAUCCCAUGUCAUUAUAAUAGGGAAUAUAAACAAUAUAAGAAAUACUGGUGCUCUGG